rnacentral:lncRNA from 1 species
GUUCCUAGUCAUGUAAUUAUCAUCCUGAAAAUGUCUCAUUGCUCCCCAUUGCUUUCCAGAAAUUCAGUGGCCUCCAGAUUCUGACUGUGACUGCUAAGUUUCAUGUUACUCAUUCUCUCUUCCCAGUCAGCAGCACAGGUUCCAGGCUCCUGGAGUAUACAGUAUCCUCUCCUGCCUCCAGCCCUUGUUAUUGCAAUGGAAGCUCCAAUCCAAGAGGGUCUGUGGAGUUCCAGUUUACAGUGGACAUGACCGGCAUCCAGAGAGACUUGAAAGAAGCCUGAAUCUUCUCACUAGAAUCCCUGCAAAAUGACUCAUGUAAUUGCUCUAAGAAUCCUUAGCCUUUAUUGUACACCCACACAAUUCUGAUGCUAUAGACUCCUGUGGCAUGCAGGGAAAGUGGGAAGGGGGCCCAUUUUAGAUGCCUAGAAUUUCAGAAGGGACCACCAAUUCCACUUGUAAGAGCAGCUGGGGAGUGCCAAAUACCCAAACCAAGGCACCUGCC